rnacentral:rRNA from 1 species
AUUGAACGCUGGCGGCAGGCUUAACACAUGCAAGUCGAGCGGGGUGAUGGUGCUUGCACUAUCACUUAGCGGCGGACGGGUGAGUAAUGCUUAGGAAUCUGCCUAUUAGUGGGGGACAACAUCUCGAAAGGGAUGCUAAUACCGCAUACGUCCUACGGGAGAAAGCAGGGGAUCACCUGUGACCUUGCGCUAAUAGAUGAGCCUAAGUCGGAUUAGCUAGUUGGUGGGGUAAAGGCCUACCAAGGCGACGAUCUGUAGCGGGUCUGAGAGGAUGGUCGGACACACUGGGACUGAGACACGGCCCGGACUCCUACGGGAGGCAGCAGUGGGGAAUAUUGGACAAUGGGGGAAACCCUGAUCCAGCCAUGCCGCGUGUGUGAAGAAGGCCUUAUGGUUGUAAAGCACUUUAAGCGAGGAGGAGGCUCUUUUGGUUAAUACCCAAGAUGAGUGGACGUUACUCGCAGAAUAAGCACCGGCUAACUCUGUGCCAGCAGCCGCCGUAA